rnacentral:rRNA from 1 species
CCUACGGGAGGCAGCAGUGGGGAAUAUUGGACAAUGGGCGAAAGCCUGAUCCAGCAAUGCCGCGUGUGUGAAGAAGGCCUGCGGGUUGUAAAGCACUUUCAGUUGGGAAGAUGAUGACGUUACCAACAGAAGAAGCACCGGCUAAAUCCGUGCCAGCAGCCGCGGUAAUACGGAUGGUGCGAGCGUUAAUCGGAAUUACUGGGCGUAAAGCGCGCGUAGGCGGCUAAGUCAGUCAGAAGUGAAAGCCCCGGGCUCAACCUGGGAAUUGCUUUUGAUACUGCUUGGCUAGAGUUUGGUAGAGGAUAGUGGAAUUCCAGGUGUAGCGGUGAAAUGCGUAGAUAUCUGGAGGAACAUCAGUGGCGAAGGCGACUGUCUGGACCAAAACUGACGCUGAGGUGCGAAAGCGUGGGUAGCAAACAGGAUUAGAUACCCUGGUAGUCCACGCCGUAAACGAUGUCAACUAGCCGUCGGGUCUAUUUACAGACUUGGUGGCGCAGCUAACGCGAUAAGUUGACCGCCUGGGGAGUACGGCCGCAAGGUUAAAACUCAAAGGAAUUGACGG